CCGCAAGGGGAGCGGCAGACGGGAGAGUAACACGUGGGAACGUACCCUUCGGUUCGGAACAACCCAGGGAAACUUGGGCUAAUACCGGAUACGUCCGAAAGGAGAAAGAUUCAUCGCCGAAGGAUCGGCCCGCGUCUGAUUAGCUAGUUGGUGGGGUAACGGCCCACCAAGGCGACGAUCAGUAGCUGGUCUGAGAGGAUGAUCAGCCUCACUGGGACUGAGACACGGCCCAGACUCCUACGGGAGGCAGCAGUGGGGAAUAUUGGACAAUGGGCGCAAGCCUGAUCCAGCCAUGCCGCGUGGGUGAUGAAGGCCCUAGGGUUGUAAAGCCCUUUCGGCGGGGAAGAUAAUGACGGUACCCGCAGAAGAAGCCCCGGCUAACUUCGUGCCAGCAGCCGCGGUAAUACGAAGGGGGCUAACGUUGCUCGGAAUCACUGGGCGUAA
rnacentral:rRNA from 1 species